rnacentral:rRNA from 1 species
AUUGAACGCUGGCGGCAGGCCUAACACAUGCAAGUCGAACGAGUGGCGGACGGGUGAGUAAUGUCUGGGACACUGCCCGAUGGAUGGGGAUAACUACUGGAAACGGUAGCUAAUACCGCAUACCAUCGGAUGUGCCCAGAUGGGAUUAGCUAGUGGGUGGGGUAAAGGCUCACCUAGGCCACGAUCCCUAGCUGGUCUGAGAGGAUGACCAGCCACACUGGAACUGAGACACGGUCCAGACUCCUACGGGAGGCAGCAGUGGGGAAUAUUGCACAAUGGGCGCAAGCCUGAUGCAGCCAUGCCGCGUGUAUGAUGAAGGCCUUCGGGUUGUAAAGUACUUUCAGCGGGGAGGCGUUACCCGCAGAAGAAGCACCGGCUAACUCCGUGCCAGCAGCCGCGGUAAUUC